UACGAAGGUCCCAAGCGUUAUCCGGAUUUAUUGGGUUUAAAGGGUGCGUAGGCGGGCUAUUAAGUCAGUGGUGAAAUCUCCGAGCCUAACACGGAAAUUGCCAUUGAUACUGAUGGUCUUGAGUACAUUUGAAGUGGGCGGAAUGUGUCAUGUAGCGGUGAAAUGCUUAGAUAUGACACAGAACACCGAUUGCGUAGGCAGCUCACUAAACUGUAACUGACGCUGAGGCACGAAAGCGUGGGGAGCAAACAGG
rnacentral:rRNA from 1 species